GGGAAGAUUUUAUCGAAACAUAGCCAUUUCUAUAAUUAUUUUAAAUUUUGAACUUUGAGUUUCCCGUUUAUAAUUAAUUUCCCUGUGAAAGGGGCUGACCCAUGGGCACUUGGGUGACUACACGGCAAUUUUAAUAAAAAAGCACCAAUGCGUAAUUAAAUUCUAUUUUAUAAAACGAAAAAAGAUUUAAAAUUGGUAUAAACAUUGCAUUUGUAUAAAUAAAAUAAUUACAAACAUUAAACUAAAUAAAAGAAGAAACAAAUGAAACGGCAGCCCUGCAGAAAACUCCACUGUGGAGAGUGUGCACGAAAAAACGCAUCGCGACUUAUAGAAAAGUACAUCGCACCGUGCAGGAAAGUGCAUCUCGCUGUAGGCUACCAUCGCUGAGAAUCACCAAGAAGCGUCUCUGAGAGCCGUCGCGAUGAUCGAUAUCUGGUUGCAAAUAAAAAUAAUAAUACAGCAUUUGCUACUAUUCGUCUGCUAUUCUGCUUGUUGGGGUCUGCUGUUGUUUUACAAAAGUAUCCGCUUGGAUCAGGCAUUUUUACUGAUCCAAGCUGAGAGUCUCAGUCACUUGAUACGACCCAAGACGAUCCAUGUUGUUUCAUUCAGCAAUCAAAAACUGUGCAGACGACGGUGAUAAACAUAACAGAAUGUCGACAACUUUAUGGCAGAGGUGUGCGAAAGUUAUCUUAAAUGAAGUUAACGGAUCGUUAACGCGUUAAAGUCGGGACGCGUUAAGCUAUUUCUUAGCAACAUUUCUUUCAGUUAACGGGCAGUUAACGGCGACAUGAAAACGCCAAAAUUUGGAGGAGAAUUUAACGCGUUAAAAUUUUUAACAAAGUUAAACUUGAAUGGAAAGCACAUAAUCCAUAAAUAAAGAAAAUUUGUGGGCAUUUCGGGCUCUCGGCAAUGUUCUAAAUGUUACGUAUAAUAAAUUUAAAUGUGUAAAGCCGACAGUACUGUUAUUUGUAUUCAAAUUCAAGUUAGAAUCAGAGUCAGAGGUCAGACGACUAUUCGUCGUAGUCGUUCGUAGUUUCGUACUUCGUAAUUCGUGACUUCGUGAUUCAUGCCUCUUAGAUUGUACAUUGUAAGUCGUACCUUGUUUUGAGUCGUGUACGUGUAGUGCUGGCGUCAUUGAAUUUGGUAUUUGAAUUGGAAUUUUACGUACUUUUUGGAGCCUUGAAAACUGAAAGGGGUAAUAAAUAAUAUUAUUAUUGAAAUCUUAUACUUAUACAUCUGUAAGGUCUAACCGUUCAAUCAUUGACAUAUAAAUUAUAUGUUUUGCAAUAGCACAAAGACAAACUUCGAAAGUAAUUUGAAGUAUACGUAUUGGUUUUCGUGAAGAGCAAAAGAAUUUUGAUGUGCUUCUUUCCCGCUCACAGAAAUUGGUGAAAGAAUGGUUCGAACAAAAAAUACUGUAUGUAGUCCUUCACUGACUAAGAGCUCGAAGGCUAGCAAUACCAAAUCUAACAAUAACAAAGAUCUGACUUCGUCAUUCAACGAAGCAGUUGACCAAGCUGAAAGUGCAUGUGGAACGUCAGCUUCUACACUCUCAGUUUUUUGGGGGUAUUCGAGGGUAUUCGAACUAGUAGCGUUUUGGUUUUUGCUACUAAUAGUAUAGGGGGGGUAUUCUAUUAGUAGCAUACCUGUUCUAGAAUAGGGGUUCGAAUAUCCCCCGAAUACCCCCUAUACUAGGGAUAUUCGAUUCCUACUAGCAUCCUGAAUUUACCCUUCCCCCGAUUCUUCAUGCAUACCCACCAAUCUAUAAAUAUACUGCUUCACGACUAUGAA